CUACUUUUUUUUUUUUUUUCAGUUUCAGUUUGGACCAUUGAGUCCCUCCACCAGUAAGUAGGUAUUUAGUCUUGCCCUUGCAUUUAAAAACCCUUUUGGAAGGAUUGCUGAUUUUCCAAGUCCCUAUAUUUGUAUGGACAAUCAGGAGGGAACAGCUGUGAUUUCCAGUAUGAUAAGGACUGUUCAAGUCCUGUGUAACACUUAAGGUUGCAAUCGUUCUCUCUCUAUCAUUCUCUUCUGGAGUUCUUUCCCUACCACACUGUGAAAACUUUUCUGUAUUUAAAAGGUAUGAUCUUUAAAUCUGGAGAGUCAUUGAAGAGGUAAUGCCAGUCGUUAGCUAGAACAAGCACAUGCUGCUUAGUCAUGAAGUGACACACAUCCCAGGGGAAUGUUCCCGUUACUGGAUUCCUGCAUGCUCUGUAAGAGGCCUUUUCCAGUCUCUUGUAACCAAAUAUUUAUCAAGUCAGAGAGAGAGAAUUACUUCCUCUCUCACUCAGCUGCAUUGUCACUGAGUGUGGUUCAUUUCUUUGCUUUAACGGUUGUGUAGUUAUUUAUACUGAAGUAUAUGAAGUUAUUUAAACAGUUUACUUAAUAGAGUCUUACCCAACAGCCUGUGUUAUACAGAAUUACAGACCCCUGGGUGAAAUUCCAUUUUAAGGGCCUGAAACAUGAUCUUCCAUGCUAGCUAUGCUUCUUGAAAAUAUGACAAGAAAAAACCUGAGUUCACUUCAACUGUAGAUAUAAUCACAGUCUUGGCAGGCAGUGGGAAGCUGAGCAACCUUUUUGGAGAAAACCACGGGGCAGUGCUUGCUCACUAGCCAGAGCAAUUUCACCUGAUGGAUCUGAGGGCUGCACAGAGCUCUCCAGAGAAAAACCAACUGCUACAACUCAGACUGCUACUGAAGUAAGUCAGUAACCCCUGAAGAAUCAAAGCACAAAUUGAUGCCUCUCAACACUAUGUUUCUGUAACUAAGGAACUGCCCAGCUCUGCAAUAAUUUCAUUGUCUGGGUAUGUUUAAAAUGCAGGGUGGCAUGAAGGAAGAGGAAGCAGUUUUCAGGAUUAUCAUCUGUGCUACUAAGCUUAAAAAUUAAUUUAAAAGCUAGUUCAAUUUCAUUCCAGAUUUUGAUUUGUUCAGUUAUUAGGGGUAAAUGCAAAGUGGAUUUAGUGGCAUUGUUUUAAAUGUGUUGAAUUAGAACAGGAUGUGGCCUAAACCACAGCAAGUACAACGUAUUUUUCCACAAUUCUCUUUUCAGUGCUUAUUUCAGUUUAUGCUGACAAAUAUUGCAUGCUUCUUCUACUUGUCUUUCUCUAGACAUGUUUUAAAGUAGGUGUGGUUGAAGUUUAGGCUUAGUUUAAUGUUUUGAAUUUAAGAUCUUUUUACCUUGUCUUGGCAACAGCAGAGUAAAGUUAGGACAGUCUUUGAGAGGGGUCUCAGUAUCCCUGCCUCUGAACAGGAACAGCUUUACAGAGGGUGGCCAAGAAGGUUGGGUGUUGCUCAGGAAAAUAUUUGGGGAAGGGGGCUGAAACUGUCUACAAACUAACAGCAAACCUUUUGCAUGCAAGCUAGAACCUUACAAGCAGUGUUCUCCCCUAGCCAGGGUGCCCCAUCAGUGGGCACACUGGGAUCUCCUCCAGAGAAGGAAUGAUCUUGUCAGUGGUUUCUCGCCUGCAAGAAGGGCAAAGCAACAGGGGCAUCUCAACAGGGGGGAUUUUCUUCGCUUGCCAGAGGGGAGAGAGGAUAAAAGGGCCUGAACUGUUGACUUGGUGUCAGUGUGAGAGGUCUCACAGGCAUUUGGCUCUUCUCUACAGACCGACACUGAGUGUUGGGCUUGGUGGGUGUGGAAGUUUUUACAUUGCCUGGUGGGAUGCUUUGCAUGCAGUGGUGAUGCAGGAGGUUCUGCUGGAGCAGCCAAAGCAACAAAUUCAGCAGCACCCCAUCUGAGAUGUGUCCACUUUUCACAGCGCAGCUAGCUCAGCUCCAUCAGCAACCUCAUCAGUAGUUUGUGAGAUGAGUCCAGUCCCGUGGCACUGCAACAGACUCAGGACAUCAGUUUUCUUGAGUUCCCUGCUCUGAAGUCUUCCCUAAUAUUGACCUUCAGGGUCCAGGGUGAAGCUGGUGACCACUGUGCCUCAUCUGGCUGUGGAAGGGAGGGUGGCUGAUGUGGUGAGAGCCAUGAGGCAGUGCUGAAGGGGAGCCCAAGCUCCACACAGAAGAGGACUUCUGAUUUAGUGUGUCCUGAUAUCCUGGUUGCGGGAUCAGAUCAGAAAGUUGGAGAUGUCCUGCUGAAGAUGUUGGACUAGAUGACCUGGAGAGGUUUAGAUUAGGUAUUAGAAAAGCAUGUUUCAUGGAGAGGGUUGUAAAGCACUGGAACAGCCUACCCAGGGAAGUGGUGGAGUCACCAUCCCUGAUGUGUUUAAUAAUGUGUGGUUGUGACAUUUGAGGACUUUAUUUAAUGGUGAACAUUAUGAUGGUACUAGGCUGAUGGUUGCACUUGAUGGUCUUAAAGGUCUUUUCCAAGCUUGACAGUUCUAUGAUUCUACCUUCAGAAGUCCCAAUCCUCCCAAAGCAUUCCAUGGUCCUAUGAUUCCACGAAAGCAGCACUCACAAAAGAUUCCUGUUUAAUCAAGUAUGUUUCCCAAGUACCAGGUUUGAUAUGGCUGUUUCAAUUUUAUGUGAAAAAAAAAUCUUUGGAUUUUUUCUAAUCUCCUUAGAAAGAUAAUUAGCUGCCCACCACCAACAGGAUUUUAAUGGAAAACUUUUGAAUAAAGGUUAUAGAAGAAGUGUUUGCCUAGGUUCAGAAUACUAGUUUAGUAGAAUGGCAGUGUAAUGUAUUAAAGUUUUGCCCAGGAAUGGUGGAUGUAUUAAGGAUUACCUUGGUACUACAAGUUUUUAAACUAGAUGCCUGUGGAAAGGUAAAGCAAAUUCUGUGUUCAGUACUUUGGUCUUUGCUGUACAGUGCACCCAGCAACAUUAAUAUUUACCUUGUAAAUUAUUUUCUCUGCUUGGGAGAUGCAAAUAUGUACUCAUAGCUAUAAGAUCAUGUUAAUUUUAUCAGGAGAUCCAGUCUGCCAAAUCAUGCAACUGGAUUGUUGCCAUGGUCGUGACUUGUAAUGAAAGAGGAGCUUUUAGCUAUGCCAUGAAAUAGGACUCCAGUGAGAUUGGUCAGAUGUAUAAUAGAUGAGGCCUUGAACUGACGGGACUUAGUGAGUCAGAGUGAUUUGGUAAGUAACAUGUUUUUCAUGCUGCAUGUAUAAAAGAAUGACUAAGAAACCCAACCCCCAGGGUGAGAAUGAAAAUAAAAAGGGAAAACUGCUCAUAUCCUGACCAAAUAGGAACAGUCCAAGUCCAGUAUUUGGAACCCCAUUUUGCCAGUUAUUUUUCUAAAGUUCAGAGACCUUCACCAGAAUAAACGAUAUUUUAGAGUUCUGUCCUGCCUGUUAUCCAUGACAUCCAUAGAUUAAAGAACAGCAGGAACUCUGACAGUUCUCAACAAAAUACUUUCAGUCUGAGAGAUAAAUAAUUUUUAAGCAAAAGGAAGAGAAAUAUUUUUUCUUUAGAUUCAUAUCACAAAUGGGACAUCUGAAGUACAUGAAAUUGGAAUUGAAAACGGAAAUCUGCAAAUAAUUUCAGCUAUAUGGCUUUUGCAGCACACAUUAUAACACUGAGUGCUUGCUGCAGUGCUAGUGCUGUGCAAUAAUUCCUUGGAAAUGUACCUUUUCUUUCUCUGUUCCCAUUUAUCCGUCACCAUUAAAGAGGUCCUGCAUUAAAGUGAUGGUUGUAAUGAGGAAAGGAAAAGAUACUGGGCUGACAUCUGAAUAAACAGCAGGAGAGGAUCCAUGACUGGCUGAUCAAGAUUAUUUUUACCCAUCACUAUUUUAAUGUGCAAGUCAAAAGUUUUCUUAGUAAAGGAGAGCAGCUUCGGGAGUUGAUUGAACUUGUAGUGAAAUGUCAUCUUAAUAUUUAGCUGAAGAGAAAAGCCUUAUUUGAAGUUUGUGAGGGGAACAGCUUAAACAGCAAACUAUUUUGCUGCUACUGUUCCACUCUAGCCAAACUUUCGAAGUGUAAUUAAAACCAUAUUCAUCAUAUAGCAUAUUUUUCCCUCUUCUUGCCAAAAAUAUUUCAAUGUAUAUUAAAUGUUUUUUCUUCCUAAUCAGAAUGAGUGAUCCAAGCUCCAGAGGGCAUCCAGCCAGAAACUCCUGAGUUUUAAUUUUAGCUUCUAUGUGGCUUCUUAGCUUGUUUCUCUUCUCUGAAGGGCAGCAAUAGCAGCCUACAUAUCCAAUUUUCUCUCAGGAUGAGUCCUAUUCUUAUGUGGAAUGCGGAAGGGAGCAGGGAACCAGCAGAGCCCGUGGGGUCCAAUAUUUUCAGCCAUUCAGGAAGGAGGAGGAAUUCUGUUGAAGCCCCACUGUGCUAGGUCCUCUGGGCACAGAUACUGACAGGCAGUUCCUGAUCCAGAUCUGGGUGCCACCUGAGAACUACUGUUUAUGGACUUGGUUGUUUAUUUUGUAAAUAGCUGCUGUAGGACCUCUCUUCCUCUGAAAGCCUAAGCAGGAUAAUAAACAGUGCUAGCCAGCACCCAAGGGCCUGGUCUUAGUCGUGUCACGAUGUUGCCACACAGCCUUCCUCAAUAAAACUUAUACACAGGAAACUCUUUGAUGUACAAAAUAUUUAUCCCGCCUCUUUCAGGUCACAAUUUUACCUUUCAGUGUUCUGUAUGACACAUUUGUGCCCAAACAGUUAAUGUAUGAACUGAAAUCUGUAGAGUCACUUCCAGGGUGGGAAUGAAUUGGGCAUGAGUAACGAUGACAUACUGCUUCAAAAAAUUCAAGAGGCAAAAUGAGAAAAAAUUAAAAACAGGGGAGUGCCAUCCCUGCCAGGGGAGUCUGUCACCUUCUCUCACCAGUUGCAGGAGUUUGUUGCUGUUUCCCAACCCAGCUGUCCUGGCCACAGCCCGUGUG